GGGGGAGUGGCUCAGUGGCAAAGCACCUGCCUUUGUAUGCAGGAGGUCCCAGGUUCAAUCCCUGGCUUUUCCA